UACGGGGGGGGCAAGCGUUGUUCGGAAUUACUGGGCGUAAAGGGUUCGUAGGUGGCCAACUAAGUCAGACGUGAAAUCCCUCAGCUUAACUGGGGAACUGCGUCUGAUACUGGUUGGCUUGAGUGCAGGAGAGGAACGCGGAAUUCCAGGUGUAGCGGUGAAAUGCGUAGAUAUCUGGAGGAACACCGGUGGCGAAGGCGGCAUCCUGGACCAAUACUGACACUGAGGAGCGAAAGCCAGGGGAGCGAACGGGG
rnacentral:rRNA from 1 species